rnacentral:misc_RNA from 1 species
GAAAUGCGUUAAUUAAUGUGAAUUGCAGAAUUCAGUGAAUCAUCGAGUCUUUGAACGCACAUUGCGCCCCCUGGUAUUCCGGGGGGCAUGCCUGUCCGAGCGUCAUUGCUGCCCUCAAGCACGGCUUGUGUGUUGGGCUUCCGUCCCUGGCAACGGGGACGGGCCCAAAAGGCAGUGGCGGCACCAUGUCUGGUCCUCGAGCGUAUGGGGCUUUGUCACCCGCUCCCGUAGGUCCAGCUGGCAGCUAGCCUCGCAACCAAUCUUUUUAACCAGGUUGACCUCGGAUCAGGUAGGGAUACCCGCUGAACUUAAGC